UAGUUAGGAAAGCCAUAUGAUUAGUCAGUUGAAAAAUGAUAUUUCAUGGCAUAAAAUUAUAUAAAUUGAAGGGUUAUCACAGCGAUGAUAUUCACAAAGAGGAAACAGAGAAAUAACAUCGAAAUUAAGGCCGAAUAUGAAACAUGUGUUAAUGCUUCUGAUUUGUUCUUUUGUCAUUCAAGGUAAAUAUAGGUUAUUUCUAAGUAACUUUUCAAUUAGAAAUUUGGUUUAUUUAUUAGUUUUUUUUUUUGUUAUGUAUAUAGAUAUUUUGUUUAUGCUUAAAACAUUUUUAUUUUAAGGAAAAGAAAAUGAAUGGUUUAAUUGCGUUUUUUUGUUUUGUUUUGUGUUCUUGCUGUUCCUGUUAAUUGGCGGGAAAUACAAAACAAAUAUCUGUAGAACAAGAUUUUUACAAAUUCGUUUGCAUGAUUACAAGAAGGCAUUGUUCUUAUAUUUUGUACAUUUAUUUAGCACGUUCAAUGUGAUAAUACUGAAAGUGUUUGUGAAAUUGAUCAUGAAGCCGACAUAUGCAUUUUCAUUCACGAAUGUCGAUCGAAAAAACGACAGGAAAGUACAAAAAAUGUAUACGGAAAUACCCUUUUUGUGUACCCUGAAUAUCAAAAUAAAAUUUCCGGAUAUUUAGUAAUCUUGUACCUUAUGCCCUCUUUUUAUGGCUUAAUGAGCUUUUAUAGAAUUAUUGACGUACACUAUACAUUUUCGUUUAAAACGGUUUAUUCCUUGAAUGCCAACAUCCUUUGAUCUACCGACAAUGUACCUGUAAAGUUAUGUUGGCAUUCGAGGAAUAGGUGCAAGAAGUUAUCACAACAAAAGUGGAUGCUUUUCAAAACAAUCAUUCUAAUUAAACAGAAAAGUAAAUUUCAGGUAGUUAAAUCACAUUUGAUUUCAUGUUUGUAAAAUUGUUGAAAAUUCAUUUAUGGCUGUAACUGCUUGAACAAUAUGCUCUUCUCUAAAAAUACAAAUUUGAAAUUGUUGCAUCACUAAGUCUAGACUUUGAUGGUUUUUUCAAUAUUUCUAUAGUUUUGUGUGCUGUGAUUUUCUCCUAUUUUAUUGUAUGGAAUUUCCCCUAACUUUGUAUAUUCUCAUACUUUUUUCAUAGCAUAAAAAGAAGAAUAUUUUGAAUAAUAUGUUAUUUGUUCGCAAACAGAGAACACAGAAAACAAUACUAAUAAUAUAAGUAAAAAUAUAAGCAAAUUGAAAAAAGCACUAUAAAUCUUCAUAAUUAUGUGAAUAUUGUUGAAUAUUUUAUACAAGCAAUUUUCAUUUAACAGUCUAUUACAAGUGUAAAAUUUAAUUAAUUAUUCAAUCAAAAAGUUAAUAUAGUUUAUAUUUACUAAUAAAAUAUUCAAUAUGAUAUGGAUUUAGAUAAUGCUCUAAUAUCCUUUUUUUAGUUUGAAAUAAUUGUAUUUUAUUAUAUGUCAAGAAACAUUUCCAUUUCCAAAAUAUAUUUUUUAAUAAAAAGUAAUAAAAAUAUUUUUAUUUUCUUUAAUUCUUUAGAAUUCAUGAUAGUUUUAACCCCAAAAUCUACUAUAUUUUCUUAUCAAAAAGUGAUAAAAUGUUGCAAUUUUAUCAAGUUCUGUAAUUAAGUUUUACAUUUAAAUACUUAAAAAUACUUUAAAUAUUUAAAAAUCAUUUAAAUAGUUAUAAAAACACCUAUUGUUCUUAUAUAAACAUCGAUUGAAAUAUUUUUGUUGGCAUUCAAGGAAUAGGUAACAUAUACAAUGUUGGCAUUCGAGGAAUACACCGUUCAAAACAAUGUCACACAACAAACAGUAUUGUAGAAUUCUAAACAGGCAAAGUUACUAAGGGGAUUAUACAAUCCUGAUUUCGAAGAAAGGUUACUGUAAUUAUUCUUUUUGCUAAAACUAUGCAUUACGAAAUACAAAAAAAAUGCAAACAUUUCAAAAUACAUAAUUGUUCGUGCAUAUAUGCGUCUGGCGUAAAUACCAAAUUUAAUCCUGGUAUCUAUGAUGAGUUUAUAUACUAUGACAUGUAAGAAGAGACAUCAUUAUUAAUUUUUAAAGAUUACUUAUUUAUUUCAUUUAAUUUCAUCUAAUAUCACUAAAGAUGGUCAAAAGACUAGGCCGUUAGUUUGAUUAUUUUUACAUUUGUGAGUUUUGGGCCUGUUUUAGCUGACUAUACUUUUUUUAAAGGCCGUACAGUAACCACUAGCUGUUUAUUUCUAUAUAUUUAAGUUGCUUGUGGAGAGUUGUUGCAUUGGCAAUCAUACCACAUCUUCUUAAUUUUUAUUUAGUGACUUUAUUUAACCGAUUUAAGUUCUUAUAAUUUUUAACAUAUAUUACUCACUUGGUGUUUUAAAUUAUGGCAUAGUGUUAUUAUCUUGCUGUUUCUGCAUUGGAUCUCUUAUCAAUAUGAUUUUAUCUGUAUUGCUACACAGAUUCGGAGAGUCGAGGGCAAAUACAUUUCUACCCUUUCAUUGAACCAGAACAAUAAGGUUACUUAUUGAUUUAUUGCUUACAUUUUUCCCAUUUCAUAGAAUAUAACAUUACAUCCAUGAUUGACAUCUAUUGAAAAAUCUAUUACGAGAUCAAAACAGAAACAGCCAGUUCAUAUUUUGUAUACUUGUAUUAUAUAUUUAUAUUUCUUGAAUAAAACUACGAAAAACAUGUUGAAUCAGGUAGAUGAAUAAUAUUUUGUUACAAAUAAAUAGAUGUAGUACGAAUGGCAAUGAGACGAUGGCCUUUUCUUAUAUUAAAAUAUUGAAUUUUUUGAAAUACUAAGGCUUUUCAACCUCAGGCAUAGACUACCUUAGCUGUAUUUGGCAACACUUUUAGGAAUUUUGGUCCUCAAUGCUCUUCAAUUUCGUACUUUAUUUGGCCUAUUUAACUUUUUGGAUUCGAGCGUCACUGAUGAGUCUUUUGUAGACGAAACGCGCGUCUGGCGUAUAUACUAAAUUUAGUCCUGGUAUCUAUGAUGAGUUUAUUUUUCUUUAUGUAGUCAUUACGAAGUUUGUCAAUACUGAUAAAUCUUCUGAUUGUCGUCUUAGUAAUUUAGUCUAUACUCAUGAUGCAGAAGCGUUUGCGUACGAACUAUAUAUCUUCCUUUUGAUACGAUACUCCAGAGCGUGUAUUUCUUAUCACGCUUUCCUGGAUAGAGGGUUGCUGCUCAUAAGGAACCUGUAAUCAAAGAGUUCAAAGUAGAUAUAAUCCCUUUGUAAAUUUUAAGACUAAUACCACAUUUCCUUAUUUUCAUAGUACUCCAAUUGAAGGUCGGUUGGUCUCUCCGCACAAUCUGGCUAUCCCAACCAAUAAAAAAUGACCACCACAAAAUAGCACAAUAGCGUUUUAUUCAAAGGAAUUUAAAUGAUAAAACAAGCCAGAAAUUUACCUUUUAUAUCAUGGCUAAGGCAUAUAUUGAUUUAAAGUAUCACACAAUGUAUACAAAAAAAAAUCAUGCAUAGUGCAUACUUUAACAAGACUUUUAACAAAUGUAUAUUUUAGAAUUUUAUACCACAUCUUUUUUUUCUAUUUUCACAGGUAUGUCUUGUAUGUCAUCGCUCGAAAGAAAACGAACUUUAGAAGUAUGUCAAUCUUUAGAAUUAGUUGGAACUUUCCCAAAAUCAACAUGUUACGAAAUGGAAAAAUUGCAAAAUUUUAUAUGUGGACAAUGUAUCGAUGAAGAUUGUUACAACCGGUACAUGUGCUAUCUUUGACAACAACAUCCAUGGACUAUGUUUAGUAAUUGUUUAUGCACAUUAUUAUAAACAACGGCUAUCAUGACGUUAACACAUUCAUAAGUAUAUACUAGAACACACCGUGAUAUCGCGGGUCAGUGACUGAAUUAAAGUAUCAUUUAACUAUGCGUAAGCCUUUUUUUAGUAUUGGUAUUGUCAUCUGAUAAAGUCAUGCCGAUUAUAAGUUUAUCUCCUUUCAAACUCUUUCUGUUUGAACCUGUCGACCUGGAACUUACCAAUUAUUGGUAAUAUUUAUUAUUUGGAAAACAAAAGGUCCUGGAAUGGAGUAGUUUUUAAUCAACAGCAUUGUAAAUAAAGUUGAAUUCUUUUAUUCGCUGUCUAUUACGUCAUGCCCGCUAACAAAUUGAACACUGUACCUAUAUGCUUUAUUUUAAGUCCAGUUUUUUUAGUAUUCGUAUUGUUAUCUUAGAAAGUCUUAUUGAUUAAAAUACUACAAUAGGGAACGAUUUGACAAUGCUUGAAUUUGUUAGGGUCAACCCCUGUGAUAUAGCAUAGUCCUUAAUACACCGUUUGGUGGUGCUCCUGUCAGAUGCAGAACGUACAGAUGAGAUAAUAGGUAACAGGUGAAUAUACUAUUGGUAUCGGUAUCAGAUUCGACCCGGAACUUGUUAAUUAUUGGCACUAUUAAUUAUGUGGAAAACAAAAGGGUGUAGAUCUGGAGUGGUGUAAUUUUUAAUCUACACCAUUGUCCUAUGCUAGUUAUAUAUAAAGUUGAAUUCUUUGAUUUUUACCUGAUGACGGCUGACAAAUUGGACCUCGUUAUUUUAGUAUUAUAGAUUUGUGGAGUAAAUAUAUUUCAAGUAACCCACUACAUUUGACUUUAUUCGAUACUUUUGUUAUGUGUACCUUAUGAUUUUACUCACAUAUCCUGUCAGCCAAAA
rnacentral:lncRNA from 1 species